CUUUUCUGACAGGGUUAGCAAUUUAGCACUGAGGUGCCGAGUUACCUCAGACGUUUUUAUUACAAUUUUACACGACGAUUUCGGUUUAUUUGGUAUUAUAGACGAUACCGAUGGCUACUUAAAAUCAAUAGGGAACAGCACCAGCAGGUUGGAGAUUUUGCGGUACUCUGCAAAGGACAUUCGGAGAGCCUGUUUGCCUGUAGCCGUCUUCUCAGGCUGCUCUGCCUCUUCAGUGUCCAUGGCCUCCACUGCAUCACUAGCAGAACCAUCCUUGCCUUCCAUCUCAGCCAACAGCCCGUUCUGAUCUACACAGACACGACCAGAGGUGGCGAAGUCCAGAAACCCAUCGGAUGUUGCUGCGGCUAGAAUACUGGAAUGUUACAUGUGAUUGUGAAAUGAGUAAAUGAACAUGUUUCAGUUAAGGACAGUCUCCAGACUGAAGGGUUGUGUGUCUGUCUGCCAUUUCCAUAAAACAAGUAUUCGCGUA